rnacentral:rRNA from 1 species
GAUGAACGCUGGCGGCGUGCCUAAUACAUGCAAGUCGAGCGAACAGACGAGGAGCUUACUCCUCUGACGUUAGCGGCGGACGGGUGAGUAACACGUGGAUAACCUACCUAUAAGACUGGGAUAACUUCGGGGAACCGGAGCUAAUACCGGAUAACAUGUUGAACCGCAUGGUUCAACAGUGAAAGACGGUCUUGCUGUCACUUAUAGAUGGAUCCGCGUCGCAUUAGCUAGUUGGUAAGGUAACGGCUUACCAAGGCAACGAUGCGUAGCCGACCUGAGAGGAUGAUCGGCCACACUGGAACUGAGACACGGUCCAGACUCCUACGGGAGGCAGCAGUAGGGAAUCUUCCGCAAUGGGCGAAAGCCUGACGGAGCAACGCCGCGUGAGUGAAGAAGGUCUUCGGAUCGUAAAACUCUGUUAUUAGGGAAGAACAAAUGUGUAAGUAACUAUGCACGUCUUGACGGUACCUAAUCAGAAAGCCACGGCUAACUACGUG